rnacentral:rRNA from 1 species
UACGUAGGGGGCGAGCGUUGUCCGGAAUUAUUGGGCGUAAAGAGCGUGUAGGCGGUUCGGUAAGUCUGCCGUGAAAACCUGGGGCUCAACCCUGGGCGUGCGGUGGAUACUGCCGGGCUAGAGGGUGGUAGAGGCGAGUGGAACUCCUGGUGUAGCGGUGGAAUGCGCAGAUAUCAGGAAGAACACCGACGGCGAAGGCAGCUCGCUGGGACGGUACUGACGCUGAGGCGCGAAAGCGUGGGGAGCGAACAGG